CGGGGGGAGCAAGCGUUGUUCGGAUUUACUGGGCGUAAAGGGCGCGUAGGCGGCCUGUGCAAGUCGGUUGUGAAAUCUCCGGGCUUAACUCGGAACGGUCAACUGAUACUGCUCGGCUAGAGUGCAGAAGGGGCAACUGGAAUUCUUGGCGUAGCGGUGAAAUGCGUAGAUAUCAAGAGGAACACCUGCGGCGAAGGCGGGUUGCUGGGCUGACACUGACGCUGAAGCGCGAAAGCUAGGGGAGCGAACGGGAUUAGAUACCCCGGUAGUCCUAGCCUUAAACGAUGAAUGCUUGGUGUCUGGGGUUAUAAAGUCCCCGCGUGCCGUCGCUAACGCUUUAAGCAUUCCGCCUGGGGAGUACGGUCGCAAGACUG
rnacentral:rRNA from 1 species